UAUAUUUAAAUAUUAAGGAAUCUUUACUCAUCAUUUACGUGUCUCCUCUUUUUCUUUUCAUAGGGAAUGCCCAACCACAGUGUAAUCAGGAAGGCGGAUUCUGCCGUGUCAGCCGAUGUCCUCUUGGAACUUCUAACAUUGGGAACCUGGGCUGUGGGUCGCUAUUGAAGUGUUGUAAAAGGGGAAGUGGAAAAUAAUGCCAUCUCCAUCUCCGACCAUGGAUAUCUUCAAGAUAUGGUCAAGGACCUGAGAUUGCCACCUGCUAUCGCUUCAUCUUUCUUUAUAUAAAUAAAAUUGCUACGCAUCAAA